GACGUAGGUGGCGAACGUUAUCCGGAUUUAUUGGGCGUAAAGGAUGCGUAGACGGUAAAACAAGUUACUACUUGACGUCGAGCUCAACUUGACUGAAAUUAGUAAUACUAUUUUGCUAGAGAUUGGGAGAAGUUGAUGGAAAUCUAUGUGGAGGGGUGAAAUUCGUAGAUAUUGGGUAGAACACCGGUGGCGAAGGCGGCCACCUGGGAAGUUACUGACGCUGAGACGCGAAAGCGUGGGGAGCAAACAGG
rnacentral:rRNA from 1 species